GGCAGUUCUUGGGUGACAUACCCCGGAAUUGGGCUCCCUCCUCUUUGUUUCCAGGUACAUCACCCGAGAACCGCA
rfam:Myotis davidii contig43006, whole genome shotgun sequence.